UUGUUCGAACCGAUGCUGCUGUUGUUAUCGAUUGACAUGCGACCGAAGUUUGUCGUCGGAAAAGCACCGGAGUCAGAGGUACUGUCAACGGACAUGUUCGAUUCUUCUACUUCAAAUCCAAGCUUGUAGUAAUAAUCCAAGAAUUGAUCUGCUCCUCUGGCGAUAUCCAUCAUAGUAUCCACUGGCGAAUAAACUCGUCUGAGAGACUCAGAGGUGUGAACACCGGAAAGUGGAAGAAAUCAUGGAAUAUUUCUGAAUAAAAAAAGUCAAAAAACGACAACACGUUUCUUGAACUUGAGUGUCAUCAUCUUAGAUUUUGUGGCUAUUUGUCCGGCAUAAGCAAAAUCAUAUUUUUCUAACAUUACUGGCCAUUUUAUAUUCAGGUGAAAUAUCUAAAUCUUUUUGAGGUCUGAUCUUGAGAUAUGGUCUAUCUAUAAAAGACAAAAAAAAAAAAAUGAUAAUUGUCGCAAACCUUGGGAUAUCGUGUGAAAGGUAUAUGAGUAUGUCUAUCAAUAUCUCACGAAAAUCCUAUUUUACAAAAAAAACAUUGUCAUUUUAUACAUGUCACGAAAUUGCCUGGUUUUUUAAAACAGUGAACCACACCAAUGCUUCUCUGACGUCAGUUUUGUUGAACCUGAUCAUGUAAACAAUGAGAUCGCAUGACUGGAGCAUGAUAUAUCAAAGUUAUAUACGACAGCAGCAAGAUUGCAGGCAACAAGCAGUCCAGGUUCGUUUCCUUUUUAAUUAAUGAUAAUUGAUGUCUUAUGUCACAUAAGAUUAAAGACGAGAAGCAGAUAUUUUGGAAUGCGACAUAAACUAAGCAGUAAGUUUGAAACUGGAUUACAAAAUGCAAAGAACAAGUUGAAAUGCAACAUGAGUUAAAAGUCUGACAUGGUUCGAUGUGAUCAAAUGGGUUAGUUUGAAUUCGGAAUUUUAGAUGUGCUGAUCAGUGAAUCACCCUCCCUCUCUAAUUGCAGGCAGGAACCCUUCGGUUUUGUAAAAGUGCAUGCUUCCUUGGGUUGCAGAUGCUACGAGGGGUUUCCUGCAAACAAAUUCAUAUUCCAAGCAAUGAUUAAAUUGAAAUUUGAUGAUUUUGAAUCAGAGUUUCCAAGAAAGCAGAUAAUAAAGCGAACCGGCAUAACUUCAGUUUCUAUAAGGUUAAAAUGAAUGGCUACCUCACACCAGAUGCGACGUAGUUGCAUUGCAAGUUGUACAAGUGAUUCGCUUUCUCUAGGAUUAGAGAAUUCCAUAGAUGCUGCUUCUUGUACAGAUAACAACAAUUCCCUCUUCACUUUUGUGGACAGAAGUUGAUGAUUUGACACACUAACAGAACUUAGAUCAACAACCUGCAGUAAGAGCUUAAGUAUGUUGGUUCACUUGGUUGCAUUUGCAAAAAAUAAACAAAUUAAGAUUAAAUAUACCUGUUGCAGCCAAGGAACAAUUGAACUGAUGAAUCUGUGAUCGAGCAUGUGUGUAGCAAGUGUGCAAAGGAUUUCAUUAGCAGUCUUAUCAGACAAUUUAUCCAGAACAGGACCAGUUCUAUCCAUAAGCUCAAUCAGAACAAGAUCAUCGUCAGUUUGGAGAACCUCCAUAUAUGCAGCUUCGAUAUCCCUUGCACAUAUAAACCCCUUGACUCGCUUCCAGAAGCCAUUUUUAUUUUCAGAUAUGUCUGGCCUCACAGUCGAAUUUAAAAAAGUAGCAUUAGAUACUUGGGCAUUUGUUGUGUGAUUUAUCUUUGAAUUUUUUGACCCGUGUCCAUGAUUUUUCUGGGUUGACGUCUUCGAUGAAGAGUCUUUGGACAUGCUUAUCUUGAGAUCUCUCCAAAUUCCUGCAGCUUCUUUAACUGAAC
rnacentral:lncRNA from 1 species